rnacentral:rRNA from 1 species
CGUCGCCUACAAAGAAAUAAAGUGUGCAGUUACUCUCGGGUGCGAUCAUACCAGCACUAA